AGCCUUAUAUUCAAAUAUGAUUUAAAAUUGCAAAUUUUAAGGUGUAAUAUUAAUAUUAUUAAGGCUU
rnacentral:tRNA from 1 species